UACGUAGGGGGCAAGCGUUGUCCGGAUUUAUUGGGCGUAAAGAGCGUGUAGGCGGCUUGGUAGGUCCGCUGUGAAAACUCGAGGCUCAACCUCGAGAUGUCGGCGGAAACCACUUGGCUAGAGUCCGGAAGAGGAGAGUGGAAUUCCCGGUGUAGCGGUGAAAUGCGCAGAUAUCGGGAAGAAUACCUAUGGCGAAGGCAGCUCUCUGGGACGGUACUGGACGCUGAGACGCGAAAGCGUGGGGAGCGAACAGG
rnacentral:rRNA from 1 species